GACGAACGCUGGCGGCGUGCUUAACACAUGCAAGUCGAGCGGAAAGGCCCUUCGGGUACUCGAGCGGCGAACGGGUGAGUAACACGUGGGUAACCUGCCCUUCACUCUGGGAUAACUCCGGGAAACCGGGGCUAAUACCGGAUACGACCACUUUAGGCAUCUUCGGUGGUGGAAAGUUUUUCGGUUGGAGGAUGGACCCGCCGGCCUAUCAGCUUGUUGGUGGGGUAAGUGGCCUACCAAGGCAGUGACGGGUAGCCGGCCUGAGAGGGCGACCGGCCACACUGGGACGUGAGACACGGCCCAGACUCCUACGGGAGGCAGCAGUGGGGAAGUAUUGCGCAAUGGGCGGGAAGCCUGACGCAGCGACGCCGCGUGAGGGA
rnacentral:rRNA from 1 species